rnacentral:rRNA from 1 species
UACGUAGGUGGCAAGCGUUGUCCGGAUUUAUUGGGUUUAAAGGGUGCGUAGGCGGCCCUGUAAGUCAGUGGUGAAAUACGGCAGCUCAACUGUCGAGGUGCCAUUGAUACUGCGGGGCUUGAGUGUUGAUGAGGUAGGCGGAAUUGACGGUGUAGCGGUGAAAUGCUUAGAUAUCGUCAAGAACACCGAUAGCGAAGGCAGCUUACCAAGCAAUAACUGACGCUGAGGCACGAAAGUGCGGGGAGUCAAAACAGG